rnacentral:rRNA from 1 species
GCCCGCACAAGCGGUGGAGCAUGUGGUUUAAUUCGAUGCAACGCGAAGAACCUUACCUGGUCUUGACAUCCACGGAAGUUUUCAGAGAUGAGAAUGUGCCUUCGGGAACCGUGAGACAGGUGCUGCAUGGCUGUCGUCAGCUCGUGUUGUGAAAUGUUGGGUUAAGUCCCGCAACGAGCGCAACCCUUAUCCUUUGUUGCCAGCGAUUCGGUCGGGAACUCAAAGGAGACUGCCGGUGAUAAACCGGAGGAAGGUGGGGAUGACGUCAAGUCAUCAUGGCCCUUACGAGUAGGGCUACACACGUGCUACAAUGGCGUAUACAAAGAGAAGCGACCUCGCGAGAGCAAGCGGAACUCAUAAAGUACGUCGUAGUCCGGAUUGGAGUCUGCAACUCGACUCCAUGAAGUCGGAAUCGCUAGUAAUCGUAGAUCAGAAUGCUACGGUGAAUACGUUCCCGGGCCUUGUACACACCGCCCGUCACACCAUGGGAGUGGGUUGCAAAAGAAGUAGGUAGCUUAACCUUCGGGAGGGCGCUUACCACUUUGUGAUUCAUGA